GACGAACGCUGGCGGCGUGCUUAACACAUGCAAGUCGAACGGAAAGGCCUGCUUUCCCUUGUGGAUUGCGGGUACUCGAGUGGCGAACGGGUGAGUAACACGUGAGUGAUCUGCCCCCAACUUGGGUAUAAGCCUGGGAAACUGGGUCUAAUUCCCGAUAGGACUGCAGGGUGGUGCCUGUGGUGGAAAACGAUUUUCUAGUGGUUGGGGAUGAGCUCGCGGCCUAUCAGCUUGUUGGUGGGGGAAUGGCCGACCAAGGCGGCGACGGGUAGCCGGCCUGAGAGGGUGGACGGCCCCAUUGGGACUGAGAUACGGCCCUGACUCCUACGGGAGGCAGCAGUGGGGACUAUUGCACAAUGGGCGGAAGCCUGAUGCAGCGACGCCGCGUGGGGGAUGACGGCCUUCGGGUUGUAAACUCCUUUCGACCGCGAGGAAGCCACCUGGUUGGAAGGGUGGUGACGGUAGUGGUAGAAGAAGCACCGGCUAACUACGUG
rnacentral:rRNA from 1 species